UUGAAAGGGAAACGAUUGAAGUCAGUCGUACCGACGAGAAAUCAACUCUUUGAGUGCGGGCUUGUGGGCAUGCGGGUGUCUCGUUGUUUGCAACGUCUGUGCUUUUUUGGGUGUACUUUUUCGUAUGGUAGGCCAACAUCAGUUUCGAUUAUCAUAAAAUGACCGGAGGAAUGUAGCUUCGAUUUCGAUUGAAGUGUUAUAGCCUUUGGUAGAUGUGGUGAUGGAGACUGAGGAUUGCAACGAAUACCCUUCGGGCUAUCCGUCUGACCUCUGAAAGUUGCUUAGGUGCCGAAAGCGUGCUUACGGUCAUUUAACGCGACGGUCAAAAAGGUUAGAACGUGAUUACAUUCGUUAAGGAUGUUGACGUA
rnacentral:rRNA from 1 species